rnacentral:rRNA from 1 species
AACGAACGCUGGCGGCAGGCUUAACACAUGCAAGUCGAACGCAUCGCAAGAUGAGUGGCAGACGGGUGAGGAACACGUGGGAACAUCCCUUUCAGUUCGGAAUAACUCAGGGAAACUUGAGCUAAUACCGGAUACGUCCGUGAGGAGAAAGAUUUAUCGCUGAAAGAUUGGCCCGCGUCUGAUUAGCUAGUUGGUGAGGCAAUGGCUCACCAAGGCUACGAUCGGUAGCUGGUCUGAGAGGAUGAUCAGCCACACUGGGACUGAGACACGGCCCAGACUCCUACGGGAGGCAGCAGUGGGGAAUAUUGGACAAUGGGCGAAAGCCUGAUCCAGCCAUGCCGCGUGAGUGACGAAGGUCUUCGGAUUGUAAAGCUCUUUUGGCGGGGACGAUAAUGACGGUACCCGCAGAAUAAGCCCCGGCUAACUUCGUGCCAGCCGCCGCCGUAACAC